rnacentral:misc_RNA from 1 species
CUUUCCUAACACAUGGAAGAAGAGCGCCCCGCAAGGGGAGCGGCGGACGGGUGAGUAUUGCGCGGGAACGUGCCCUUUGCUACGGAAUAGCCUCGGGAAACUGGGAGUAAUACCGUAUGUGCCCUUCGGGGGAAAGAUUUAUCGGCAAAGGAUCGGCCCGCGUUGGAUUAGGUAGUUGGUGGGGUAAUGGCCUACCAAGCCGACGAUCCAUAGCUGGUUUGAGAGGAUGAUCAGCCACACUGGGACUGAGACACGGCCCAGACUCCUACGGGAGGCAGCAGUGGG